UUGGAGGGCAAGUCUGGUGCCAGCAGCCGCGGUAAUUCCAGCUCCAAUAGCGUAUAUUAAAGUUGUUGCAGUUAAAAAGCUCGUAGUUGAAUUUCGGGAUUGACGUGAUGGUCAUGCCUUAAGGGGUAUGAACUGUUACUGUUGAUUUCUCACCUUCUGGAGAAACUUGAUGUCCUUUAUUGGGUGCCUAUUGGAUCCAGGACCUUUACCUUGAAAAAAUUAGAGUGUUUAAAGCAGGCAUUUUUGCUCGAAUACAUUAGCAUGGAAUAAUAGAAUAGGACGGCAUGGUUCUAUUUUGUUGGUUUCUAGGAUCACCGUAAUGAUUAAUAGGGAUAGUUGGGGGCAUUAGUAUUCAAUUGUCAGAGGUGAAAUUCUUGGAUUUAUUGAAGACUAACUACUGCGAAAGCAUUUGCCAAGGAUGUUUUCAUUAAUCAAGAACGAAAGUUAGGGGAUCGAAGACGAUCAGAUACCGUCGUAGUCUUAACCAUAAACUAUGCCGACUAGGGAUCGGAUGAUGUUAAUUUUUUAACGACUCAUUCGGCACCUUAUGGGAAACCAAAG
rnacentral:rRNA from 1 species